rnacentral:rRNA from 1 species
GACGUAGGGGGCUAGCGUUGUCCGGAAUCAUUGGGCGUAAAGCGCGUGUAGGCGGUCCGGUAAGUCCGCUGUGAAAGUCGAGGGCUCAACCCUCGAAUGCCGGUGGAUACUGUCGGGCUUGAGUACGGGAGAGGCGAGUGGAAUUCCUGGUGUAGCGGUGAAAUGCGCAGAUAUCAGGAGGAACACCGAUUGCGAAGGCAGCUCGCUGGAACGUUACUGACGCUGAGACGCGAAAGCGUGGGGAGCAAACAGG